UACAGAGGGUGCGAGCGUUAAUCGGAUUUAUUGGGCGUAAAGAGCUCGUAGGCGGUUCGAUAAGUCGGACGUGAAAUCUCCACGCUCAACGUGGAGGGGCCGUUCGAUACUGUCGUGACUCGAGUCCGGUAGGGGAGUGUGGAAUUCCCGGUGUAGCGGUGAAAUGCGCAGAGAUCGGGAGGAACACCCGUAGCGAAGGCGGCACUCUGGGCCGGUACUGACGCUGAGGAGCGAAAGCGUGGGGAGCAAACAGG
rnacentral:rRNA from 1 species